rnacentral:rRNA from 1 species
UAGGAAAUCUUCGGCAAUGGACGAAAGUCUGACCGAGCAACGCCGCGUGAGUGAAGAAGGUUUUCGGAUCGUAAAACUCUGUUGUUAGAGAAGAACAAGGACGUCAGUAACUGAACGUCCCCUGACGGUAUCUAACCAGAAAGCCACGGCUAACUACGUGCCAGCAGCCGCGGUAAUACGUAGGUGGCAAGCGUUGUCCGGAUUUAUUGGGCGUAAAGCGAGCGCAGGCGGUUUCUUAAGUCUGAUGUGAAAGCCCCCGGCUCAACCGGGGAGGGUCAUUGGAAACUGGGAGACUUGAGUGCAGAAGAGGAGAGUGGAAUUCCAUGUGUAGCGGUGAAAUGCGUAGAUAUAUGGAGGAACACCAGUGGCGAAGGCGGCUCUCUGGUCUGUAACUGACGCUGAGGCUCGAAAGCGUGGGGAGCAAACAGG